UUUGUCUUCAGUCUCCUUGCACAAUGCAGAAACUAAUGUUUUUCCUGAAGUUGUGACUUGUGAGGUCAAAGGCUUCGGUAUAUAGGGAUAUGGGGUGUCUUUAAGGGUCAUUGUGGUAUUCUGGCUUAUAUUUGUAAUUUACGUCUUUAAUGCCCAUGUAAUGCUUAGGGAGAAUGGGUAGGCUUUUAUGAGCUAAGGUUUGGGAGUUGUAAAGAAGAAUAAGG
rnacentral:misc_RNA from 1 species